ensembl:misc_RNA Vault Vault RNA
AGGCUGGCUCCAGCUCAGCGGUUCCUUCGACUGAAUCCCGAUUCAAGCACCCUUUCCAGGGUGGUUCAACACCCACGGGCACUCCCCAGUCCUUUC